UACGUAGGGGGGCAAGCGUUGUCCGGAAUCAUUGGGCGUAAAGCGCGUGUAGGCGGCUCGGUAAGUCUGCUCUGAAAGCCCGGGGCUCAACCCUGGGAGGCGGGUGGAUACUGCUGAGCUCGAGUCCGGAAGAGGCGAGUGGAAUUCCUGGUGUAGCGGUGAAAUGCGCAGAUAUCAGGAGGAACACCAAUGGCGAAGGCAGCUCGCUGGGACGGUACUGACGCUGAGACGCGAAAGCGUGGGGAGCAAACAGG
rnacentral:rRNA from 1 species